rnacentral:lncRNA from 1 species
AGAAGGAAUGACUUUAGUCAGACAAAGUUUAUCAUGACAGGACAAAGAUCAAGAAGGACGAUUUGAUUUGAUUGAAAGGUGCAGCCUAAUUCGAGAUUAGACAGUUUUGAAGGGUCAAAUGUCUACUCCAAAUUGUAUGUCAUGCGUUAUUAAAGUCAAUAUACACCCCCAAAUAAACUUUCUUACUUUACUGGUAGAAAUACUUCUUAUUCAAACAUAAUUCUUUUAUUCCUUCUUUUG